GAUGAACGCUAGCUACAGGCUUAACACAUGCAAGUCGAGGGGUAACGAGAGGAAAGCUUGCUUUCCUUGUCGACGACCGGCGCACGGGUGAGUAACGCGUAUCCAACCUGCCCCCAACUAAGGAAUAACCUUGCGAAAGUAAGACUAAUACCUUAUAAUUUCCUCAGAUGUCAUCUGACGAGGAAUAAAGAUUUAUCGGUUGUGGAUGGGGAUGCGUCUGAUUAGCUUGUUGGCGGGGUAACGGCCCACCAAGGCAACGAUCAGUAGGGGUUCUGAGAGGAAGGUCCCCAACAUUGGAACUGAGACACGGUCCAAACUCCUACGGGAGGCAGCAGUGAGGAAUAUUGGUCAAUGGGCGGAAGCCUGAACCAGCCAAGUAGCGUGCAGGAUGACGGCCCUAUGGGUUGUAAACUGCUUUUAUACAGGAAUAAAGUUAGCCACGUGUGGUUAUUUGUAGGUACUGUAUGAAUAAGGACCGGCUAAUUCCGUGCCAGCCGCCGCCGUAA
rnacentral:rRNA from 1 species